CCUACGGGCGGCAGCAGUGGGGAAUAUUGGACAAUGGGCGAAAGCCUGAUCCAGCCAUGCCGCGUGUGUGAAGAAGGCCUUCGGGUUGUAAAGCACUUUCAGUGGGGAAGAAAGCCUUGGGGCUAAUACCCUCGAGGAAGGACAUCACCCACAGAAGAAGCACCGGCUAACUCCGUGCCAGCAGCCGCGGUAAUACGGAGGGUGCGAGCGUGUAAUCGGAAUUACUGGGCGUAAAGCGCGCGUAGGCGGUCUGAUAAGCCGGUUGUGAAAGCCCCGGGCUCAACCUGGGAACGGCAUCCGGAACUGUCAGGCUAGAGUGCAGGAGAGGAAGGUAGAAUUCCCGGUGUAGCGGUGAAAUGCGUAGAGAUCGGGAGGAAUACCAGUGGCGAAGGCGGCCUUCUGGACUGACACUGACGCUGAGAUGCGAAAGCGUGGGUAGCAAACAGGAUUAGAUACCCGGGUAGUC
rnacentral:rRNA from 1 species